AACGAACGCUGGCGGCAUGCCUAACACAUGCAAGUCGAACGAGACCUUCGGGUCUAGUGGCGCACGGGUGCGUAACGCGUGGGAACCUGCCCUUAGGUUCGGAAUAACUCCCCGAAAGGGGUGCUAAUACCGGAUAAUGUCUUCGGACCAAAGAUUUAUCGCCUUUGGAUGGGCCCGCGUUGGAUUAGCUAGUUGGUAGGGUAAAAGCCUACCAAGACGACGAUCCAUAGCUGGUCUGAGAGGAUGAUCAGCCGCACUGGGACUGAGACACGGCCCAGACUCCUACGGGAGGCAGCAGUGGGGAAUAUUGGACAAUGGGCGAAAGCCUGAUCCAGCAAUGCCGCGUGAGUGAUGAAGGCCUUAGGGUUGUAAAGCUCUUUUACCCGGGAUGAUAAUGACAGUACCGGGAGAAUAAGCUCCGGCUAACUCCGUG
rnacentral:rRNA from 1 species